rnacentral:rRNA from 1 species
UGGGGAAUAUUGGGCAAUGGGCGCAAGCCUGACCCAGCAACGCCGCGUGAAGGAAGAAGGCUUUCGGGUUGUAAACUUCUUUUAAGGGGGAAGAGCAGAAGACGGUACCCCUUGAAUAAGCCACGGCUAACUACGUGCCAGCAGCCGCGGUAAUACGUAGGUGGCAAGCGUUGUCCGGAUUUACUGGGUGUAAAGGGCGUGCAGCCGGAGAGACAAGUCAGAUGUGAAAUCCACGGGCUCAACCCGUGAACUGCAUUUGAAACUGUUUCCCUUGAGUGUCGGA